AUGCUCCCCACGCCUCGCCUGUCCCGAGGGCCCCAGACUGCCUCUCCCGGGCCACAACACAACGAUGAUGGCGGUGGCGGCAGCGACGGCGACGGCAUACAGCGGGAGCAGGCAGAGCAGCGCGACCCCUCUCCCUUGACCUCCCUCAGCAGCGUCGCGCCUUCUCAGCCACGACCUCUACCCGCUGGCGGCGGAAGCGAGCGGCCGGCCACAGAUGCCUCCUCCAGCCUUGCCGUCCUUCGAUCCCCAGCACCCUCAGUCCACCCUACCAACCUCGCCGCCUUCCCUCGCCAGCCCCGCGUCGGCCGCCUCCACCUCUCUCCCUCUCUCUCUCGCUCCCUCCCCCCUCCCCCCCUCUCUCUCAUAUUUCUGUUCCAAUUCUUACUUUUUGAUGUGCUACUUUUGUUCAAGUAG
rnacentral:rRNA from 1 species